AAGUGGCCUCGGACUCAUCGGAGCCAUCAGGACACUCCUCCUCGCCGUCACACUUCCACCGUUCGUGGAUGCAGUGGCCGUUGUCACAGGGAGAAGAAGACAAAAGGCGGUGAGGAGGAGCAACAAGAAGUCGUAAUGUAUGAAGAACCUGCAGCAGACUCAGGCACAUGGCAGAUGCUGGAGAAGUGGCAGCUACUGUUGUUUUCAGGGUUUGAGUCUUAAUUAGAAGCUGAAGGAAUGGGGUUCUGUGUCCACACAGGGGAUGUAGCAGGCUGAGAGCUCACAGCUGGUUACGGAGCUGAGAUAAGAAUGCAGGUACCAUCCCCAGCCCGGUUCUUUACUGCCUUCUGUGUCUUGUCCUACGAGGAACUAGAGUUUCCAGAUCAAUGAGAGGAAACAGAGAUGGAUGCCCAUGUCAUAAGGUGCCCCAGCUUCUUCCCAAGCAGCAGCACAGCACUGGGCGCACCUAGCAGGCCCGGGGGAGAGCAGUUGCCCUGUCAGGACUUCCAUGGGGGAACUGAGGCUGCCUGGCUACCCCCAGUAGGUGGUGGGGGUGCGGGGGUGUUGGAGACCGGGAAGGGGCCUUGAGCGCUCCACCCCUGACAUCCUGCACCCUCUGUAGCAGCCCUAGGCCUCUGAAUUAUUGGGGGCUCAUCUGCAUCAAAUCUGCAUUGAACUCACACAUGCCCUGUUCCUGCUGGACCAAGCAUCCAGGACCCGCUACAGAACAAGGUGAGGAAGAGAGCACUGGGCAGGGAGUCCGGAGGUCUGGAUUUGAGACACUGCUGUGCUAUUUUGCUCUGUAUCCUCAAGCACAUCAUGGCCCUUUUCUGGCCUACAGCUUCUUCAUCAGGAAAAGAGAGGGUGAUCUGGUGAGAGAUAAGCUUUCAGGUGUGGUAGUUCGAGACCAGGAGGCCCAGAAAUGAAGACGGCAGGGGGGUCUCUUUUCAGCCUAAAAGAGGAUACCUCAGCACAGCAGUGACUUACCCCAGGCCUUGGGGCGCUCAGACCACCAAAGUCCUCCCCUGGAAUGAGCUUGGGAUGGAUUUAACAUCAGGGGCCACUAGGAUGUGGCCUCUCCCCAGGGGCUUAGAAGUCCCGUGGCCCCAGCCUGCCCCGCUCCCUCAUCUUCCCCUCCUCAUACUUCCCAAUCUAGCCCCACCUCAACUGCCGGUGGGUCCUCAUAUACUCCAUGCUUUUUAUACCAUCAUACCUUGCCCAAGCUGUCUUUAGUCUGAAAGCCCCUUCCCCCACCUCUCACCUUCUUUCCAUUACACACUGGGCUUAAGUAUCACCUCCAGUCUUGAUCAGUAGCCUCUCCUGAGCUCCUACAAUCCCCUGAAUGUCCUUCUAGGGCAGAGGUUGGCAAACUUUUUCUGUGAAGGGCCAGAUAGUAGCUAUUUAGGCUUUGAGGGCCAAAUGGUCUCGGUCACACCACUCAAUCCUGCCACUAUGGGGCAGAAGCAGUCAGAGACAUUAGAUAAAUGAGUGAGCAUGGUUAUGUUUCAAUAAAACUUUAUUUACAAAAAACUGGUGACAGGCCAGGCCUGUGGCCUGUAUUUUGAUGACCUCUGCUCUAGAUCAUCACUGAUUGCGAGUCCAACAUGGUUUGCUUUCUUCCCUGUCCCUGCAGCACAGAGACUGUCAAAUUCAGCAAGAAUCCAGCUUGGGGUAGGUCUCAGUGCGGGACACUGAGCUAAAUGCGAGCACAGCCCCCCAGCCUCUGCUCCAUACUUACAGUUCUGGGGCUUGCCUUCUCCCUGGGAAGCCACUCCCAUGGACCACCUUUAUUCAAAUCUACCCACAGGCCCUCUGGGUGCUUCUGGGGCUGCAGGCCUGCUCCCCCUCCUCUGGGGAGCCUGGCAAGGAUUUGGUGAGAGAGACUGUGUCUCUGAAUCUGUUCCAUGUCUGUCCUUCUCAGUGGAAUCUUUGCAGUACAUCUGCAUUCUAAGAUGAGUUUUCUUCACACUUUGCUUAGAAGAAUGCCUCUGUACGUGCAGAACUAGAAGAAACCUGAGGAAUCAGAGUCCACCUUCAGAUGGCCCAGGGCUCUGGAGAGGCCCUCCCUGUUUCCUGCACUGAGAGGUCAUCGUCAAUGAUAGAUGCGAAUACCACCUAUUGGUAAAUCAUAG
rnacentral:lncRNA from 1 species